rnacentral:tRNA from 1 species
UCCCUGGUGGCUUAGAUGGUGAAGAAUCUGCCUGCAGUGCAGGAGACCUGGGUUCGAUCCCUAGGUUGGGAA